UGCACAGCGGUGGUCACGCUGUUGGAACGGGUCAUCCUGCGGUAACUAGGAGAGAUGGUGAAGAUAAGGUUUGGCAAAGAACAAAAAGCUCUGGAGAGGCCUUAACGUAUUGCAGUUGAACAGAGGGCUGACUUCAUCUACUUGGUUUGUCGGAGUCAUCCACCGCCCUCCAACCACCCUCCCACCUCCCUCCUGUCUCGCUAGAUGUGAUUGGAUGAUCCCAGACGAGAUUUAAGCCCAGAGAAGUGUUAAAGAACAGAGGGUUUUCAUCCGCUCAAUAAAGCACUGUAUGAAACAGGAGACGACGCGCCGUGUCCCACCUAGCUGUCACUACGAGGAGCCAGACGCGCUGGAGAAUGACAGGGGGUUUUGAAUGCCGAGACAGGUUAAGUAAACACACUCAAGAGUUGGAACAUGCCCACGCACACAUGUACGCGCACGCAGGCCUGCAGACAUGCACAUGGGCACGGAGGCACACAAAUAACAUUGACACAACCCAGCUUAACGUUUCAAACUCUCCACAUCAAUGGAGA